rnacentral:rRNA from 1 species
GACGAACGCUGGCGGCGUGCCUAAUACAUGCAAGUAGGACGCAGUUGCGAACGUAUGAGUAACUCGUAGUUAACUCCCUAUUAGAGGGGGAUAACUAAUGGAAACUAUAGCUAAUACCGCAUACUACUAGAUGGACCUGCGUUGUAUUAGCUAGUAGGUAGGGUAAUGGCCUACCUAGGCGACGCUACAUAGCCGACCUGAGAGGGUGAUCGGCCACACUGGGACUGAGACACGGCCCAGACUCCUACGGGAGGCAGCAGUAGGGAAUCUUCGGCAAUGGGGGGAACCCUGACCGAGCAACGCCGCGUGAGUGAAGAAGGUUUUCGGAUUGUAAAGCUCUGUUGUUAAGGAAGCGGUACUUAACCAGAAAGGGACGGCUAACUACGUGCCAGCAGCCGCGGUAAUAC